CAGAAGACUAAGAUGUAUGAGACAUGGGUAAUAAUCAACAAAGUGGAGAACUACAUACACACAGCAAACUGCACCUGUAUGGCUGGUGCUGACAAAUGAGGAGAUACAGGAACUGCAGGUUGUGGCUCCAGAUGCUGCAGUGUUGACAAGUCUGGAGAACAGUGACACAGACACUGCGUCAUCCGGCAAUGAUGAAGAGGAGCAUCCAGGCUUACCUGAGCCCUUGACUGCUUUAUUUAAUGCAUCAUAGAGGGACCUCUCACCUCAGGAAUUACAGGACAAAAGCAA